rnacentral:rRNA from 1 species
UACGUGGGGGGCAAGCGUUGUCCGGAAUCAUUGGGCGUAAAGCGCGUGUAGGCGGCCAGGUAGGUCCGCUGUGAAAACUCGAGGCUUAACCUCGAGCUGUCGGCGGAAACCAUCUGGCUAGAGUCCGGAAGAGGAGAAUGGAAUUCCCGGUGUAGCGGUGAAAUGCGCAGAUAUCGGGAAGAACACCCGUGGCGAAGGCGGUUCUCUGGGACGGUACUGACGCUGAGACGCGAAAGCGUGGGGAGCGAACAGG